GACAGAGGGUGCGAACGUUGCUCGGAAUAAUUGGGCGUAAAGCGCGUGUAGGCGGCAUCGCACGUCGGGUGUGAAAGCCCGGGGCUCAACCCCGGCAGUGCACCCGAAACGACGAUGCUAGAGUGCUGGAGAGGCGGGUGGAAUUCCUGGUGUAGAGGUGAAAUGCGUAGAUAUCAGGAGGAACACCGGUGGCGAAGGCGGCUUCCUGGACAAAAACUGACGCUGAGGCGCGAAAGCUAGGGGAGCAAACAGG
rnacentral:rRNA from 1 species